GACGAACGCUGGCGGCGUGCCUAAUACAUGCAAGUUGAGCGCUGAAGGUUGGUACUUGUACCGACUGGAUGAGCAGCGAACGGGUGAGUAACGCGUGGGGAAUCUGCCUUUGAGCGGGGGACAACAUUUGGAAACGAAUGCUAAUACCGCAUAAAAACUUUAAACACAAGUUUUAAGUUUGAAAGAUGCAAUUGCAUCACUCAAAGAUGAUCCCGCGUUGUAUUAGCUAGUUGGUGAGGUAAAGGCUCACCAAGGCGAUGAUACAUAGCCGACCUGAGAGGGUGAUCGGCCACAUUGGGACUGAGACACGGCCCAAACUCCUACGGGAGGCAGCCGUAGGGAAUCUUCGGCAAGGGACGAAAGUCUGACCGAGCAACGCCGCGUGAGUGAAGAAGGUUGUCGGAUCGUAAAACUCUGUUGGUAGAGAAGAACGUUGGUGAGAGUGGAAAGCUCAUCAAGUGACGGUAACUACCCAGAAAGGGACGGCUAACUACGUG
rnacentral:rRNA from 1 species